AGAUUCCCCCAGUAGCGGCGAGCGAACGGGGAGCAGCCCAGAGCCUGAAUCAGUAUGUGUGUUAGUGGAAGCGUCUGGAAAGGCGCGCGAUACAGGGUGACAGCCCCGUACACAAAAAUGCACAUGCUGUGAGCUCGAUGAGUAGGGCGGGACACGUGGUAUCCUGUCUGAAUAUGGGGGGACCAUCCUCCAAGGCUAAAUACUCCUGACUGACCGAUAGUGAACCAGUACCGUGAGGGAAAGGCGAAAAGAACCCCGGCGAGGGGAGUGAAAAAGAACCUGAAACCGUGU
rnacentral:rRNA from 1 species